UAAUUAUUGAUUAUUAGUUAUCCUAGUCUUCCCUAUCGUUAUUUGCCAAAAAAAAAAAUCUAUAAGGAGUAUGAAGGGUUAAAAAGCCAAAUCUUAAGCUAGUAAUCAAUCUCAUUCAUUUGAUGAUUUUAGGAAUUUGUUUUAAAAAAAGGAAAAGUUAGGUUUCGGAUGCAAAUUUGAGUUAUAGAACUCAAGUUGAUCGUGAC
rnacentral:lncRNA from 1 species